rnacentral:rRNA from 1 species
AUUUAACGCUGGCGGCAUGCCUUACACAUGCAAGUCGAACGGUAACAGGUCUUCGGAUGCUGACGAGUGGCGAACGGGUGAGUAAUACAUCGGAACGUGCCUAGUAGUGGGGGAUAACUACUCGAAAGAGUGGCUAAUACCGCAUGAGAUCUACGGAUGAAAGCAGGGGAUCGCAAGACCUUGUGCUACUAGAGCGGCCGAUGGCAGAUUAGGUAGGUGGUGGGAUAAAAGCUUACCAAGCCGACGAUAUGUAGCUGGUCUUAGAGGUGGAUCAGCCACACUGGGACUGUGACACGGCCCAGACUCCUACGGGAGGCAGCAGUGGGGAAUUUUGGACAAUGGGCGCAAGCCUGAUCCAGCAAUGCCGCGUGCAGGAUGAAGGCCUUCGGGUUGUAAACUGCUUUUGUACGGAACGAAAAGCCCUGGGUUAAUACCCUGGGGUCAUGACGGUACCGUAAGAAUAAGCACCGGCUAACUACGUGCCAGCCGCCGCCGUAA